UUCAUUUCUUCUUCUAUUGCUCCCUGCGGCGGCUACGGUUGUACUCUUCUACUCGUCUCCUCCCCCUCCUCCUCUUCUGUUCAAUACACUUCUUCUCGCCUGGUACUCUUCUACUGAAGUGGAUCUACUCUCCACUAGUUCAUCUGGACAGCAAAUUGGAUUUGAAGAACUGCUAUUCAGGCCGUGUGUAGAUCAAGAGCAACUACAAAUAAAGGUUGACAUAUGGAGGUUUGUAUGGAGUGUGAGAAUUCCAGCGAUAAAGAGAUGGAGACAGCCAAGGCUUGGCUGAGGCGCGCAGCACAAGCCCAUCCAAAACGUCCCACCAUUCAAAUCGAUUAGACACGAGUGCUGACUGACAUGCCUCUGCCGCCAGGAAGGCCUUCAAUGUAAUCCCGGAGCCAUGUACUGGUGAUUCCAUCAGUUGCCAUGGAUACUGUUCCAACAUUUGAAACAACUGAUCACUGCACCACUGUAGGCACCGGCAUCUCUUUUGAUUCGUGUACCGGUACUCCGGUAGUGCAGCUCCCAAUAAAGAAGGCUCAUUCUCUCCAACGUAUGUGAAUUCAGUCUUUUGCUACAUGGAGGCUUGCACGUUGUUCAUGAUGAACUGUUUCUUACUUCUGCAUAUGCUUUCAGAAAUGCAGCACCGCAUAUGCUUUCAGAAAUGCAGCACUGCAUUUCCUUUGUUCAGUCAAGACUCGUACAAUAAAAUGUUGCAUUCAGUUCGCACUAUUUGUAGUACUAUUUUCAGAAAUGCAGCACCGCAUAAUGCGCUGCGUUGUUUUGUUUUUCUUGGCUUAUUUAAGUUAUUAUUAAUGAGGAGUUGAUGGAACUCCUGUUGGCUUGUCCUGCUUUGCUUGCACCUAAGGCUCUUAGAAUAAAAGGUUAGCUGAUUGAACUCGUGUUGUAGCUUCCGAUUUGCUUCAUGUUAAGAUUUCUCUUCUUAUUGCAACUGGGUCUAUCUACUAAACUGCUGUUUCGAGCUCGUCGGAUUUUCGUGAUAGAGCCUCCAAGGUAGCAAGAGAGCCUCGAACUACCACAUCCAAUUGGAACUGGUAGGAAGUAUGUUAAUUCCGGUCGAAUUAGAGCCGGUUGUCGCGCAACCCAGGGGGCAGGAUCUGCCCUUGUUUGUUGCAGAGCAGCCCAAGCCCCCAUCCCCAUGGGCCAUGGCACCCCCUUCUCCAACCAGUUUUACAACAGAGUUGAGGAGCAACGUGAGAACUAGUUCUGAAUCUGUGCUAUCACGUCACUGGGUUCCUUUGGAGUUGAUUCAGUUUCAGGUUGCUACUUUAGAAUAGCAGCCACUCGUGUAUAGCUCCUCAACAUACUUAACCAUUUUGGGUUUGUCAACCAUAUACUGGAAGAGAUUUUCUAGCAGUCAAGGAGUCCUGUUUGUUUCAAGGAGGGGAAUGUUAGGACUAUCUCCUGACCGUUUACACUCUGGCUCUGCAUCCCGAUCCCCUCUCAUGCCUCCCAACUACAACGGCCAUGUGUUAAUCCCUGCGUGAUUGAGUGAACCGGGUAGUGGGUUGCUAGCAGGGUUCUCCAAGAUGAUGACGCCUAAUUCAUCCAGCUCUGGAAAUUUACAGAGGGAUAUAUAAACCCCUAAAUCCUCAUCGAGGUGUGAGAUCGACAACUGCUCCAGAUUGUUUCAU